UAUCUCGAAAAACCAAAAGACUG
rnacentral:piRNA from 1 species